rnacentral:rRNA from 1 species
UACGAGGGGGCGAGCGUUGUUCGGAAUUAUUGGGCGUAAAGGGUGCGUAGGCGGGUUUGGUAAGUCUGAUGUGAAAUCCGUAUGGGCUCAACUCAUAGUCUGCAUCGGAAACUGCCGGGCUUGAGUGUGGGAGAGGUGAGUGGAAUUCUGGUGUAGCGGUGAAAUGCGUAGAUAUCAGGAGGAACACCUGUGGCGAAAGCGGCUCA